AGAACGAAAAAAGUAAACAUAAUCUGAAAUAUUUAAAUUUUAAAAUAAAAUUAGUUAUUUUAAAUACAUAGCCAGACACCCGUAUAUGGGGUCUUGGUCUGACACAACAACCAAACAUUUUUCCUAUUGUAAUUUACAUUCUUUAUUAUUAGACACAACAAAUCUUCGAAGUCGUCGUGAGAAGAGUUGUAUUCGAUUUUGAAUGAAUGUAUACUACCACAAUCAUUCAACACUCUAGUUUUGUAUCCUAACACUAGAAUCUGACCGGUUUCCAUUGUUUGAGGAUUUGUCGACCAUAUUUUUGGACAGUUGUGAAAAUGAUGACCGUUGACUCCGCAACGGAAACAAACAAAAACACGACAAUAAUAAUCUAUGUUUUUGUAAAAACUACGUUGAAUCUGAUUAAGUCGUUUGAGUCGUUCAUAUCGUUCGACGAUUGCAAGUAGUUGACUCAUUUUUUUACUGAAAAAAAAGAAAUAUUUAUAAUCAACAUAAUAUUACAUUCAAAAUAUUAAAUUAUAUUUUAAUGUAAUACUUUAUAAUUUAAUUACAACAAUCAUCAUUAUCGUCAUCGAAAAUAUCUCUAUUUGGUAUUUUAAGGACUGAACUCCAUUCAGAUUCUACCGGAUCUUGAAUGUAGAAACAUUGUUGAGCCUGAUUUGCCAAAAUAAAAGGUUCCUUUCCAAAUUUCCCCCGUAUCGUGUUCACUGAAACGACACCAAAAUCAUCUACUUUAGUACCUGCUUUUCCAGGAUCGUACCACUUACAUUCAAACAGACAAUAUUUAGUCGUGUGACCGUAGCAAAUUUCGAAAACAUUUUCUAAUAAUCCAUGAUAUUCAAUUUCUGCUACCAACGGAGCAUCAUUUGAAGAUUUAGCAUACGUUGAUGUUGUAGCCGAUAGAAAAAUACCGCUAUUUUGCGUCGAUCUACGAUUUGUCAAUUCUGAUGUCUGAAAUUUUAAUCCAUUCAUAAUGUAACCACUAUAAAUUGAAGCAAAACAACUUGGUCCGCGGGAAAUAGAAUUUAAAUCUGUGUCAGAUUGUUGAGCUUCGGACAUGUGUUUUUUAAACCAUUCGGCAAAUUGUUUGAAGUGUAAAUUUUCCAAACGGAACUGUGUGUGUUUUGGAAACAUAACUUUCAAUUGCUUCAAGUGUUUAUUUCGAUAUGGUUCGACAUUUUCAAGGUCAAACAAUAUACAUUGAUGCAACUGUUUCUGUUGUAAAGUAGUCAACGUUAUAUCAGUCGGUGCAUUUAAAAACCCAUCGAUAUACCUAUCUGGCCGAUUUGAUUUUGUCUCGACAUUUUGUAAAAAUCGAGAACAAAACGUCAUUGACUCUUCAGAAAGAUAACUUUCCGCAAUAGAUCCUUCCAGGUGAUUACGUACGGUCACAUGAUUUUUUAAAGUCAAAAGAUACCUAAAAUGAGAAUAUAUAUUGUAUGAUCAAGACAUAUUAAUUAUAAAUUUAUUUAUAAUUGUAUAAAUAUAUAUACCUCUCUAUCGGAUACAUCCAUCGAUAUUGGACCGGUCCAGCUAUUUUCACUUCGGUUGCUAGAUGGACCGUCAGAUGAACCAUUACAGUAAAAAAACCGGGAGGAAAGAUUUUCUCAAGAUUGCACAAUGUAUAUAUAAUUCUUUUCUCCCAUCGUUCCAUAAGUUUAAUUUCGAUCACCUUCGAAUAAAUAUCGUGGAAAUAUCCGCAAAGUUCAACGAGAACCGAAGUCACUACAGGUUUUGUCGAUUUUCGUAAUGCAAUAGGAAGUAACUGUUGCAUUAUAACGUGACAAUCGUGACUUUUCAAUCCGAUAAAUUUUCUUUCUUUCAUUUUCACGUUUUAGAAAUGUUAGAACAAUAUCCAUCGGGAAGUCGAAGGGAUUUAAACACUGACAGAAAUAAUAUCUUUUCUUUCGUCGUUAAGUUGAAACACGCACUCGGAAUGUCCCAUUCUUCUCCUCGUCGAAUAGGAUGAAGUUCUUUUCGGAUUCCCAUCGAUUGUAAAUCGAACCUCGCGUUCAAAUUAUCUUUCGUUUUACCAUCCAUUUCCAAAAUAGUGGUUACAAUAUUGUCACAUACAUNNNNNNNNNNNNNNNNNNNNNNNNNNNNNNNNNNNNNNNNNNNNNNNNNNNNNNNNNNNNNNNNNNNNNNNNNNNNNNNNNNNNNNNNNNNNNNNNNNNNNNNNNNNNNNNNNNNNNNNNNNNNNNNNNNNNNNNNNNNNNNNNNNNNNNNNNNAUCAAAAGUUACUGAAUCUCGAAAUGGAUAAACUUGACUAUAUAUUUCAGAACCCGUCAAACGUUUAGGGGCGACUCUAGUUUCGAUCUGAUUAUUGAAACUUUUCUUAUCGCUCUUAUAAUAAUGUUUCAUAUCUAGAAAUCGACGAUGUCCCAUAAAACUCACUUUCUUUCCAUGCUCUAAACGAAUACUUUCAGUGUCAUUCUUACAUACUGCACAGACUAACUUUCCUUUAGUGCUCCACCCUGAUAUAUCACCGUAUUCUGGAUAAUCAUGUAUCGUCCACAGAAGUGAUGCAAACAUCUUAAAAGAUUUCUGUGUACGUACAUCAAAAGCUGUAACACCAUCUGCCCAUAAAAUCUUCAGUUCAUCAAUAAACGGUUAAAGAUAGACAUCUAUAUCGUUCCCUAGAGCUGAUGGACCGGAAAUUAGUAGAAACAAUAUGAAAUUCGGUUGCUUCAUACACAUCAUUUCAUGGAAAUCUAAAAAAAUAUUAAAUUAAUUAAUUUAAUAUUUUUUAAACAAAGAAAUAAUUAAUUAAUUAAUCAUUUCAUGGAAAAUUAAUGAUUAUUAUUUCAAUUUAAAAUCAUUUAAUUUAAUAAUUAUUCAUUAUGAUUUCUAUAAUUUCAUGCAAAUUAUAUUCAUUAACAUUUCAAUUUAAUAAUUACUAAUUAAUUAACAAAUUUUUAAUUUCAGGCAAAUUAAUCAUUAACAUUUCAAUUUAAUAAUUACUAAUUAUUUAAAAAAAUAAUAAUUUCAUGCAAAUUUAUCAUUAUUAUUUCAAUUUAAUAAUUAAUUAAAUAAUUUCAAAUUAAAAUGAUCAUAUAUAAUUAUUUCAUGCAAAUAUUUGAUUACUAAAAAAUUAAUAUUUAAUAAUUGUCAAUCAAUUAAUAAAAUACUAAUUAUUCUUAUUUUAUUUGAUAAUUAAAAUGAUAAUUUAAUAAUUUAUUUUAACAACAAAUUAAAUAAUUUGAAAAUAAAUUAAUUAAAUAAAAUUAUAUAAUUUUUACCGCAAAUUCGAUUUUCUUCAAUCCAAAACUUACUUCAAUCUUGAUUUUAAAAAACCUAUAACAAAUCAAAAACACAUUAAAUAUUUUAUAUAAAAUUUAAAUUAUUUAAAAACAAAAAUUAUUUAAAUAUUUUAAUUAUUUAUUAAAUAAUUUAAAAACAUAAAAUAAUUAAAACAAAUUUAUUUCAUGCAAAUAAUUAAUUAAGAUAUAGAUUCAUGUAAAUUAUUAAUUAAAUUGAUAUUUAAUUACAAUUAUUUAAAUAAUUUACAAAUAAGUUGAUUAAAUAAAAAAUUUAAUUAUUUUAAUUUAAAAUAUGAAAUAUGAAAUAAUUAUUUUAAUUAUUUUAAUCCAUGAAAUAAUUUUAAAAUAUUUGAUUAAUUUAAAAUAUGAAAAACUUUAAUUAUUUAAUUAUUUAAUUAUUUAAAAACAGUAUAUCAUUUAAUUAAUUAAAAACAAUAUUUUAAUUAUUUUAAUAACUAAUUAUUUUAAUUUUAAAUUAUUAAAAAACAGUAAUUAAAUAUUUUCUAAUUAUUUCAUUAACAAUUUAAUUAACAAAUUAACAAAUUAACAAAUUAUUUUGAUACAAUUUUAUAAUUAUUAGUUAACAAAUUAUAAUUUCAUGCAAAUUAAUAAUUAUUAAUAUCAUUUCAAAUCAUUAAAAUCAUUUAAUUUAAUAAUUACUAAUUAACACAUUUAUAAUUACAUGCAAAUUAAUUAAUUACAAGUAUAAGAAAAAAUAAUUAAUUUAAUAACUAAAUUUUUAAAUUAUUUAUUUUUUUAUUUAAACAAAUUAUUAAUUAUUUAAUUAUUUAAUUCAUAACAGUAAAUAAUAUAAAGAUUUUCAGUAAUUUUAAAAUUAUUUAUAAAUAGUAAUUUAUUUAUUUAUUUAAAAAAAUAUUAAUUAUUUAAUUAUUUAAAAACAUUAAUUUAUUUAAUAAAAACAGUAAUUAUUAAUCUAAUUAAAUACAUAUUUAUUUAAUUAAAACAGAAUAAUAUAAUAUUUCAUGCAAAUUAAAUAAUAUUUCAUUCAAAUAAUAAAAACAAAAUUAUUUCAUUCAAAUAAUUCAUUAAUAAUUUAUUUCAUGCAUAUUUAUUUCAUUCUUAUUUAUUUCAUGCAAAUUCUUAGUUUCAUGUAAACUUAAUAAUUUAAAUUAAAUAAUUUAAAUAUAUAUGAUUAAAAAUUUAUUUUUAACAUUAUAAUUUAAUAUUUAUUAACAUUUGAUUCAUAUUCAAUAAUUAACAAAUGAGUUUAUAUAUAAUUUAUAUAUCAUCCAAUCCAACACCUCCUCAUCACAACUCCAAUCCAAUGUUGGGUUUUCAAAUCACAUUCAUAUUCAAACAUAUAUAUAUAACCCUAAAAUAAUUCAAACCCAUAAACUUAUUACAACAAUCAAAUAAUCAAACCAAUUACAACAAUCAAAUAAACCCAUUAAUCCUAUUACAGUAAAUAAACGAAAAUUAAAUCAAACCCAAUCAAACCCAAUCAAACCAAUUACAGUAAAUAUACGAAAAUUAAAUCAAACCCAUUAAUCCUAAACACUAAAACACUAAAAAGAAAUCAAACCCAUUACAACAAUCCAAAACACUAAAAAGAAAUUAAAAAAAACGAAAUUAGAAAUAAAAAACCAUCAUUCACAACAAUCAACAAUAAAUAAAAAACUAAAUUAGAAAUAAAAAACCAUUACAACAAUCAAACCCAUUAAAUCAAACCAUCAUUAAGAAAUUAGAAAUCAAAAAAUCAAAUGAAAAACGAAAAAAAUGAAAAAAUUCAAAUCCACAAACCUUCACAGAUCGAACCGAAGAGGGCGACCAGCGGAGGAGGCGUCGGCUACAGGAGGUGAGCGGCGACGAAGAAUCGGCGAUCACGGAGACGUCGAGAUGCGGCGAGGAGACAGGCGGAGACAGCAGCGGCGCGGCGACUUGGGGUUUUCUAAAGACAGAACGCGUCUGUCUGGAUUUGGGGUUUUUAAUAAACCCCAAAGCUUACAUGGCGGAUUUCCGCCAUGUAAGUACACUUAAGUGCCGCCAGCACUAAGGUGAAAGUCCGCCCAAUCGAAAUUUGGGCGGGCUUUUUCCGCCCGAGUCCCCGAAUACUUAACAUGGCGGACAUCCGCCAUGUUAAGUCAAUUUAAUCGGGUAAUCGGGCUGAAAAUUGGGGGGCAUUCGAAAUUUUGGGCGGGAUAGUUUAGAUGGCGGAAAUCCGCCAUCUAAACACCGCCAUCGAAAGUAAUUUCGAACCGCCGUCGAGCCAAAACUUUUCCUCGGCGGACUCAAUGAAUAGAUGGCGGACAUCCGCCAUCUAAACAACUGAAGUAUUGAUGGCGGAAAUCCGCCAUCUAAAG
rnacentral:lncRNA from 1 species